GUACGCAUCGUUGUCGAAGUGUUCAACUAUUUUUAAAAAUAUUGUUGACUUUUUUUUUGAAUUUUUUUUUUUCCCUUAAUGACGUCAUUAGUCAUUUUUAUCCAAAAUUUUUUUUUUCAACCGGCGUCUACGCAAGUUGAAAAAAUCAAUUUUUUUUUUUAAAUUUUUUCGUCAACCCAAUUAAAUAUACAAGUCAACAGUAUUUUUAUAUAUUAAUUAGUGUUGAUUGUUUAGAUAGAUUAUCAAUGGAUUCCAACGAUGAAAAGUUUUUUUUCUGAUGUCUUGACUGGGAAGGAAGGAUGGAAGCAAAGAACACUGACCAGCCUCAAUGAACUGCUAGCUGUCAUCCUACCAGCUGAUCAACUGGCAUCGUUCGGCAGGGAAAUAAAGUUAUUUCUCUGUUGAGGUUUAGGUACAUAAUUUGGAUUUACUUUUUAGUAGAUCUUAUACGACAUGUCCAAGCUAGAGUCCACUGGAAUCUAUUCUGACAUGACUGGCCUAUGAGGACCAGAAUAAUUUUGAGGACAGUGAUGCUGCUGAGCAUUGACGACAAGGUGGUCCAGAUCCAAGGACACACCGCCGCUCUAAUUUUUUUUUUCUGUUUCAGAUCCAGUCAACAAGAAGGAUGCCCAACUUGAAGGAUGCCCAUGGAUGCCAAGGACCAAGAAGAGGACCAGGACCAGGACCAGGACCAGGACCGGGACUAGGAAGGAGAUAUAAUAUUUAUUAUUUAAUUUAAGCUUAAUUGUAAUUAAUUUUAAACAAUUAUUUUAUUAAGGUGUGUGUGUGUGAUGGAUGAACUGCGAGCGAUGAAUAAUUUAAGAAUUUAGUUUAUAUUUUUAUUUUGUAAGUAUGAUUUUGAGUGGUAUGUUUGUAUAUUGAGUAGGUGUGGCAUGCAUGUAUUUAUUGCAUUUUCUGCAUGAUGCUUGCUUUUUUUUGUUUGAUUUUUUUUUUAUUGCAUGGUUUUGGGUAGUUUGUAUUUAAUUAAUUUUUUUUUCCCUUUCCUUAUCCCUUUAGGUCUUAAUUUUAAGUAUGAAUGAAUUUUGUUUUAUUUAAUUAUAAGUACAUGUUUAUUUUUGUGUGAUCAAACCCGAAUGUUAAUUAUAAGCGUAUAAUGAAUGUGUGUAAUUUUGAGUAUUGUGUGAUCAAACCCGAAUAUUAUUAUUAAGGUUUAAUUGUAAUUAUAAUAAUUUUGUAUGUAUAUUUCUUCAUGUAUUUAUUGUCAUUUAGCUUUUUUGUUGGUCACCAAUCGAGUGACCACUGUGUUGGUCGGGUUUUUUCACUGUUAAAAACCUCCGAUUUAAAACGAUAGAUUCCGGGUCUAUCGGAUUUUUAUCGGAGUAUUUUAUCAGUGUUGAGGUUUCCCAAACGGGCUAUUUUCUUUCUACCAAAAGAAAAUAGCUUAGACCACUACAAUUGUAUUUUUAAAUAAAUACAAUUGUAGGUGAAUGCGCACAGUAUAGGAAGUCGGUCCUC